GACGAACGCUGGCGGCGUGCUUAACACAUGCAAGUCGAACGGAAAGGCCCUGCUUUUGUGGGGUGCUCGAGUGGCGAACGGGUGAGUAACACGUGAGUACCCUGCCCUUGACUUUGGGAUAACUUCAGGAAACUGGGGCUAAUACCGGAUAGGAGCUCCUGCUGCACGGUGGGGGUUGGAAAGUUUCGGCGGUUGGGGCUGGACUCGCGGCUUAUCAGCUUGUUGGUGGGGUAGUGGCUUACCAAGGCUUUGACGGGUAGCCGGCCUGAGAGGGUGACCGGCCACAUUGGGACUGAGAUACGGCCCAGACUCCUGCGGGAGGCAGCAGUGGGGAAUAUUGCACAAUGGGCGGAAGCCUGAUGCAGCAACGCCGCGUGCGGGAUGAUGGCCUGCGGUUUGUAAGCCGCUUUCGCCUGUGACGAAGCGUGAUUGACGGUAAUGGGUAAAGAAGCACCGGCUAACUACGUG
rnacentral:rRNA from 1 species